CCCUUAGAUGGUCUGGGCGGCACGCGCGCUACAAUGAUGCAUUCAAAAAGUCUUCUGACCUUAGAAGGUUGGGUAUUCUCCAAAGUGCAUCGUGAUGGGAAUAGUUUAUUGCAAUUUUUAAUCUUGAACGAGGAAUUCCUAGUAAGUACAGGUCAUCAACUUGUGUUGAUUACGUCCCUGCCCUUUGUACACACCGCCCGUCGCUCCUACUGAUUGAGUGUCUCGGUGAAUUCUUUGAUCUUCUGUCGAUUCAGUUCACCGAUCCGACGGUGGAAAGUUGAAUGAACUUCGUCACUUAGAGGAAGGAGAAGUCGUAACA
rnacentral:rRNA from 1 species